rnacentral:rRNA from 1 species
CCUACGGGCGGCAGCAGUAGGGAAUAUUGCUCAAUGGGGGAAACCCUGAAGCAGCAACGCCGCGUGGAGGAUGAAGGUUUUAGGAUUGUAAACUCCUUUUGUUAGAGAAGAUUAUGACGGUAGCUAACGAAUAAGCACCGGCUAACUCCGUGCCAGCAGCCGCGGUAAUACGGAGGGUGCAAGCGUUACUCGGAUUCACUGGGCGUAAAGAGUGCGUAGGCGGGGUAUUAAGUCAGAUGUGAAAGCCUGUAGCUUAACUACAGAACUGCAUUUGAAACUGUUAAUCUUGAGUGUGGGAGAGGUAGGUGGAAUUCUUGGUGUAGGGGUAAAAUGCGUAGAGAUCACGAGGAAUACUCAUUGCGAAGGCGGCCUGCUGGAACAUUACUGACGCUGAUGCACGAAAGCGUGGGUAGCAAACAGGAUUAGAUACCCGUGUAGUC